GGAUUCCCCCAGUAACUGCGAGUGAAAAGGGAAGAGCCCAGCGCCGAAGCCGCCGUCCAUCACAGUGGGCGGAGGGCAAUGUGGCGUUAAGGAAGAGCCUCCUUGACCAGACGUUUCGUUGUUCGGACCGCGGGAGCCCGAGUCCCCCUGACCGGGGCCACCGCCCAUGGCGGGUGCAAGGCCUCUUCGGCUCCGUUCGACGGUUCGAAGGUUGCUGGCUUCUUUCCUCAGAGUCGGGUUGCUUGAGAGUGCAGCCCUAAGCGGGUGGUAAACUCCACCUAAGGCUAAAUAUCACCACGAGACCGAUAGCGAACAAGUACCGUGAGGGAAAGUUGCAAAGAACUUUGAAGAGAGAGUUCAAGAGUACGUGAAACCGCUCGGAGGCAAACGGGUGGGCCCUCGAAGGUCGAACGGGGGAAUUCAGCCUGUCGGCGAGCGCUUCCUGAGAAAAACAAAAAAAACCGUCGAAAAGCAUUCGUGCGAAACGGAUCCGAGAACAAAGCGGACCGGGCGGCAGGCAGACAGUCAAAAAAAGCGUUCGUCGGCUCGUGCACUUUCCCCUCAGUAGGACGCCGCGACCGGUCGGGUCGAAAAAAUAAUUUCGAAAAGUUUUGCGGCCAUGAGGCGAGAACGAUCACGGGGGCAGGUGUCCGUUUCCGCGAGUCUCGAUUCCGCGCGUUUUAAACGGCGCGCGCGUCUCGUUUCCUACCGGUUCGGAGUUACAGCCCCUUCUCGACCCGUGCACCGCCACCCGACCGACAAAUGGUCACGAAAUCCGUAGACGCGUGCCCGCGUGCGCAGUCAAAUGCGUCAACGCUCGCCCUAGUCCAGGGCAGGCCGGACGUACGAGUAAAAUUCCCACUUCGACCCGUUUCAACCGCGGGUAGGGGAUCCGACGGGCGCCGAAAGCAAAAAACCGAAAAGGCGGUCGUCGGCUCUGCGUCUGCCGUUACGCCCACGUGGAACUGGAAUCUGGCGUAGAGGCAAAAAGAAUUAAAAAAAUAAACGCUCACGNNNNNNNNNNNNNNNNNNNNNNNNNNNNNNNNNNNNNNNNUGAAACACGGACCAAGGAGUCUAACAUGUGUGCAAGUCGUAGGGUCUGCUUUUUAAACGAGCUAAACCCGAUGGCGAAAUGAAAGUGAAGGCCGCCCCUUCGAUGGGGAAGUUAGAACGGCCGAGGCGAGAUCCUAAAAGAGUCGCGCCGUUUCGCAAGAUUCGGCCGGCGAAAUUUUUAAAAGAAACCGGACAUGGCAGGCACGCCGGGGCUCUUUUUUUAAGAGAGCGCCCGGCGGUCCGGAGGCGCAUCGCCGGCCCGUCUCGAUUGCUCCGAUCUUCCGGCGCCCCCUCUCUAUUUCCGCGUUCGGUGCCCCCUCUUCUCCAUACCUCCUUCGCGGGGGGCUUGGGGUUUGCGGGUCAACCGUAUCCUCCGGAUCGGAGUCGGCGUCGGUCGUGAGGAACCGUAGUCAAUGAGGCGGAGCAAGAGCACACACGUUGGGACCCGAAAGAUGGUGAACUAUGCCCGGGCAGGACGAAGCCAGAGGAAACUCUGGUGGAGGUCCGCAGCGAUUCUGACGUGCAAAUCGAUCGUCGGACCUGGGUAUAGGGGCGAAAGACUAAUCGAACCGUCUAGUAGCUGGUUCCCUCCGAAGUUUCCCUCAGGAUAGCUGGCGCUCAUGAAAUAGUACGAAAAAUAAACUGACGAAACAGUCUCAUCCGGUAAAGCGAAUGAUUAGAGGCAUUGGGGCCGAAACGGCCUCAACCUAUUCUCAAACUUUCAAUGGGUGAGAUGUCCGGCUUGCUUAACAAAAAUAAAAAACGGGGGCGUUCCGCGCGAACCUCUCAGCUUGCGCGUUCGCUUCGGCGGCGGGCAUUCCCGCUUUUACCGGCGGGUUUGUUUCUGUCCGUCCGUCGCGUCUCGCGUUCGCGGGUCGUCUCGUCGGUCGCAAAACCCCUUGAAGCACGGACGUAGGAUGCGAGUGCCCAGUGGGCCACUUUUGGUAAGCAGAACUGGCGCUGUGGGAUGAACCAAAAGCCGGGUUACGGCGCCCGAUGCGGACGCUUAUCAGACCCCAUGAAAGGUGUUGGUUGCUAUUGACAGCAGGACGGUGGCCAUGGAAGUCGGAA
rnacentral:rRNA from 1 species